UCCUACGGGAGGCAGCAGUGGGGAAUAUUGCGCAAUGGGCGAAAGCCUGACGCAGNGAGCCGCGUGAGGGAUGACGGCCUUCGGGUUGUAAACCUCUUUCAGCUCUGACGAAGCCUUUCGGGGUGACGGUAGGGGCAGAAGAAGUGCCGGCUAACUACGUGCCAGCAGCCGCGGUAAGACGUAGGGCACAAGCGUUGUCCGGAUUUAUUGGGCGUAAAGAGCUCGUAGGCGGCUUGUCACGUCGGCCGUGAAAUUCUGCAGCUUAACUGUGGGAUUGCGGUCGAUACGGGCAGGCUAGAGUUCGGUAGGGGAGACUGGAAUUCCUGGUGUAGCGGUGAAAUGCGCAGAUAUCAGGAGGAACACCGGUGGCGAAGGCGGGUCUCUGGGCCGAUACUGACGCUGAGGAGCGAAAGCGUGGGGAGCGAACAGGAUUAGAUACCCUGGUAGUCCAUGCUGUAAACGUUGGGCGCUAGGUGUGGGGACCCUUCCCGGGUUUCUGUGCCGUAGCUAACGCAUUAAGC
rnacentral:rRNA from 1 species